rnacentral:rRNA from 1 species
UUGAACGCUGGCGGCAGGCCUAACACAUGCAAGUCGAGCGGCAGCACGGGUACUUGUACCUGGUGGCGAGCGGCGGACGGGUGAGUAAUGCCUAGGAAUCUGCCUGGUAGUGGGGGAUAACGUUCGGAAACGAACGCUAAUACCGCAUACGUCCUACGGGAGAAAGCAGGGGACCUUCGGGCCUUGCGCUAUCAGAUGAGCCUAGGUCGGAUUAGCUAGUUGGUGAGGUAAUGGCUCACCAAGGCGACGAUCCGUAACUGGUCUGAGAGGAUGAUCAGUCACACUGGAACUGAGACACGGUCCAGACUCCUACGGGAGGCAGCAGUGGGGAAUAUUGGACAAUGGGCGAAAGCUUGAUCCAGCCAUGCCGCGUGUGUGAAGAAGGUCUUCGGAUUGUAAAGCACUUUAAGUUGGGAGGAAGGGCAGUUACCUAAUACGUGAUUGUUUUGACGUUACCGACAGAAUAAGCACCGGCUAACUCUGUGCCAGCAGCCGCGGUAAUACAGAGGGUGCAAGCGUUAAUCGGAAUUACUGGGCGUAAAGCGCGCGUAGGUGGUUCGUUAAGUUGGAUGUGAAAUCCCCGGGCUCAACCUGGGAACUGCAUUCAAAACUGUCGAGCUAGAGUAUGGUAGAGGGUGGUGGAAUUUCCUGUGUAGCGGUGAAAUGCGUAGAUAUAGGAAGGAACACCAGUGGCGAAGGCGACCACCUGGACUGAUACUGACACUGAGGUGCGAAAGCGUGGGGAGGCAAACAGGAUUAGAUACCCUGGUAGUCCACGCCGUAAACGAUGUCAACUAGCCGUUGGGAGCCUUGAGCUCUUAGUGGCGCAGCUAACGCAUUAAGUUGACCGCCUGGGGAGUACGGCCGCAAGGUUAAGACUCAAAUGAAUUGACGGGGGCCCGCACAAGCGGUGGAGCAUGUGGGUUUAAUUCGAAGCAACGCGAAGAACCUUACCAGGCCUUGACAUCCAAUGAACUUUCCAGAGAUGGAUUGGUGCCUUCGGGAACAUUGAGACAGGUGCUGCAUGGCUGUCGUCAGCUCGUGUCGUGAGAUGUUGGGUUAAGUCCCGUAACGAGCGCAACCCUUGUCCUUAGUUACCAGCACGUAAUGGUGGGCACUCUAAGGAGACUGCCGGUGACAAACCGGAGGAAGGUGGGGAUGACGUCAAGUCAUCAUGGCCCUUACGGCCUGGGCUACACACGUGCUACAAUGGUCGGUACAGAGGGUUGCCAAGCCGCGAGGUGGAGCUAAUCCCAUAAAACCGAUCGUAGUCCGGAUCGCAGUCUGCCAACUCGACUGCGUGAAGUCGGAAUCGCUAGUAAUCGCGAAUCAGAAUGUCGCGGUGAAUACGUUCCCGGGCCUUGUACACACCGCCCGUCACACCAUGGGAGUGGGUUGCACCAGAAGUAGCUAGUCUAACCUUCGGGGGGACGGUUACCACGGUGUGAUUCAUGACUGGGGUG